GCACCCAUAGCUCAAUUGGAUAGAGCAUCUGACUACGGAUCAGAAGGUUGAAGGUUCGAGUCCUUCUGGGUGUACCA
rnacentral:tRNA from 3 species